rnacentral:rRNA from 1 species
GAUGAACGCUAGCGGCAGGCUUAAUACAUGCAAGUCAAGGGGGUAGCAAUACAACCGGCGCACGGGUGAGUAACGCGUACACAACAUACCAUAUACUGGGGUAUAGCUUUGGGAAACUGAAGGUAAUCCCCCAUAACAUUGCGAGAGGGCAUCUGAUUGCAAUUAAAGUUUCGGCGGUAUAUGAUUGGUGUGCGUUUGAUUAGCUAGUUGGUAGGGUAACGGCCUACCAAGGCGACGAUCAAUAGCUGGCGUGAGAGCGCGACCAGCCACACUGGAACUGAGACACGGUCCAGACUCCUACGGGAGGCAGCAGUAGGGAAUAUUGGACAAUGGGCGCAAGCCUGAUCCAGCCAUGCCGCGUGAUAGAUGAAGGCCCUCUGGGUUGUAAAUAUCUUUAUCUGGAAGAAACUCCUCUAUUCUUAGAGGCCUGACGGUACCAGAGGAAUAAGCACCGGCUAACUCCGUGCCAGCAGCCGCGGUAAUACG